UACGUAGGGGGCAAGCGUUAUCCGGAUUUACUGGGUGUAAAGGGAGCGUAGGCGGCGAUGCAAGUCAGAAGUGAAAGCCCGGGGCUCAACUCCGGGACUGCUUUUGAAACUGUAUGGCUAGAUUGCAGGAGAGGCAAGUGGAAUUCCUAGUGUAGCGGUGAAAUGCGUAGAUACUAGGAGGAACACCAGUGGCGAAGGCGGCUUGCUGGACUGUAAAUGACGCUGAGGCUCGAAAGCGUGGGGAGCAAACAGG
rnacentral:rRNA from 1 species